AUGCCGAACUCAGAAGUGAAACGCGGUAGCGCCGAUGGUAGUGUGGCAUUCGCCAUGCGAGAGUAGGACACUGCCAGGC
rnacentral:rRNA from 1 species